UCCCGCCAAACCAAGAAGGAAGUUGCCAGCCUAGGAGGUGACUAAAACCUGGAAUUUGAGGAAGGUACAUUCUAUUGUGACUAGGGCCUAAUUAGGAUGCCCCAAUCCUAGGCCACCUCAUGGCCUCAGACAGGGAUUCGAGACGUAUAAAAGGUGGACAGGCUCAGAGCAUCCCACAGCAUCCUUCAGCAUCCCCACACUCCAGUGGCUAGAGAACUAAGUGCACAUCCGGCCCAGAAUGUCUCAGCAGAAGCAGAAGCAGUGUGCUCCCCCACAGCUGUGCUGCCCCCCAGUGAAGCAGUGCUGCCCCCCACCCCAGCAGUGCUGCCCCCCACCGAAGCAAUGCUGCCCCCCACCCCAGCUGUGCUGCCCCCCACCCCAGCAGUGCUGCCCCCCACCGAAGCAAUGCUGCCCCCCACCCCAGCUGUGCUGCCCCCCACCAAAGCAGUGCUGCCCCCCACCCCAGAAGUACUGCCCCCCACCAAAGCAGUGCUGCCCCCCACCAAAGCAGUGCUACCCCCCACCGAAGCAGUGCUGAGCCCUGCCUCAGCAGACCAAGGAGCCUUGCCAGCCUCCACCCAAGUGCAAGGAGUCCUAUGCCCCCAAGUGCCAACAGAAGCACUCACCCCUUCAGCAGUGCCAGAAGUCCAAUAAGGAGUCUGCCCAUGCAUGAGGCCAAGGGCUAAUCCACCAGGAGAACAGAGAGCAUGGAGCCCACUCCCCUCUCUCAGUCAGCUGUCAGCCCCACUCAACCCCGGUUCCUGGAGGCAGCCACUGUUCAAGAAAAGGCAGCAACAACAGGAUGGCAGCUUCCUGGAUCUCAACCUCUUAUUAAUUAGCAGCUGCAAUUUCCAUCUCAGAUGAGGAUCUGGCUCUAAACCGACAUCACCUUUGCUGACAUGUAUCUACAUCACCCUGUCGGCUUCUUGGAAACUUGGGCAGCAUGCCCAGACACCCUUUUCUUUCACCCUUCAUUUGCUACUCCUGUUUUCCAAACAAUUAAACACAAUUCUUCUGGCA